GAUGAACGCUGGCGGCGUGCCUAAUACAUGCAAGUCGAGCGAACGGACGAGAAGCUUGCUUUUCUGAUGUAAGCGGCGGACGGGUGAGUAACACGUGGAUAGCCUACCUAUAAGACUGGGAUAACUUCGGGAAACCGGAGCUAAUACCGGAUAAUAUUUUGAACCGCAUGGUUCAAAAGUGAAAGACGGUCCUGCUGUCAAUUAUAGAUGGAUCCGCGCUGCAUUAGCUAGUUGGUAAGGUAACGGCUUACCAGGGCAACGAUGCACAGCCGACCUGAGAGGGUGAUCGGCCACACUGGAACUGAGACACGGUCCAGACUCCUACGGGAGGCAGCAGUAGGGAAUCUUCCGCAAUGGGCGAAAGCCUGACGGAGCAACGCCGCGUGAGUGAUGAAGGUCUUCGGAUCGUAAAACUCUGUUAUUAGGGAAGAACAUAUGUGUAAGUAACUGUGCACAUCUUGACGGUACCUAAUCAGAAAGCCACGGCUAACUACGUG
rnacentral:rRNA from 1 species